UUCCUCCCCACGCCCCGGAAGCGGGGAAGGACUCUUUCCCGCGGUGAAGAAACAGGGCUUGUGAUGGAGGUCAGAUGCCAGAGGGCUGCCUGCGUCUGUCGCGUAGAGUUGCAGAUGAACAUGGCCUUGAGGUAAAUCCUGCCCUUGUUGAAGUUCAGUUUCAGCAGAUGAUUUCUGGCAUUUUAAGGAAUUGGAAUAUUUUACAAGAAACAAAAGUUUUAUUUGCUUCUGCCCUAGACUUAAUUUUUCUUCUUGUAGAAGAUGAGAAACAGUUUAAACAAAAAUUCUUUAUAGUAAAUAAUUAUGAUGCUUAAAUUAAAUGGAUUUUAAAUGUCAAAGCCACUUGUAGAUGGUUUUAUUCUUGGUCAAAUAAAAUUUUACUAACCUC